rnacentral:rRNA from 1 species
AGCGGCGGACGGGUGAGUAACGCGUAGGAAUCUACCUGGUAGUGGGGGACAACUUGGGGAAACCCAAGCUAAUACCGCAUAACGUCUACGGACCAAAGGGGGGGAUUCAUUUAUGAACCUCCCGCCAUUUGAUUAGCCCAAGUGAGAUUAGCUAGUUGGUGAGGUAAAGGCUCACCAAGGCGACGAUCUCUAGCUGGUUUGAGAGGAUGAUCAGCCACACUGGGACUGAGACACGGCCCAG